AGUCGAGCGGUAAGGCCCUUCGGGGUACACGAGCGGCGAACGGGUGAGUAACACGUGGGUGAUCUGCCUCGCACUCUGGGAUAAGCCUGGGAAACUGGGUCUAAUACCGGAUAUGACCACUGAUCGCAUGGUUGGUGGUGGAAAGAUUUAUCGGUGCGAGAUGGGCCCGCGGCCUAUCAGCUUGUUGGUGGGGUAAUGGCCUACCAAGGCGACGACGGGUAGCCGACCUGAGAGGGUGACCGGCCACACUGGGACUGAGACACGGCCCAGACUCCUACGGGAGGCAGCAGUGGGGAAUAUUGCACAAUGGGCGAAAGCCUGAUGCAGCGACGCCGCGUGAGGGAUGACGGCCUUCGGGUUGUAAACCUCUUUCGACAGGGACGAAGCGCAAGUGACGGUACCUGUAGAAGAAGCACCGGCCAACUACGUGCCAGCAGCCGCGGUAAUACGUAGGGUGCGAGCGUUGUCCGGAAUUACUGGGCGUAAAGAGCUUGUAGGCGGUUCGUCGCGUCGAUUGUGAAAACUUGCAGCUCAACUGCAAGCUUGCAGUCGAUACGGGCGGACUAGAGUACUUCAGGGGAGACUGGAAUUCCUGGUGUAGCGGUGAAAUGCGCAGAUAUCAGGAGGAACACCGGUGGCGAAGGCGGGUCUCUGGGAAGUAACUGACGCUGAGAAGCGAAAGCGUGGGUAGCGAACAGGAUUAGAUACCCUGGUAGUCCACGCCGUAAACGGUGGGUACUAGGUGUGGGUUUCCUUCCACGGGAUCCGUGCCGUAGCUAACGCAUUAAGUACCCCGCCUGGGGAGUACGGCCGCAAGGCUAAAACUCAAAGGAAUUGACGGGGGCCCGCACAAGCGGCGGAGCAUGUGGAUUAAUUCGAUGCAACGCGAAGAACCUUACCUGGGUUUGACAUACACCAGAAAGCCGUAGAGAUACGGCCCCCCUUGUGGUUGGUGUACAGGUGGUGCAUGGCUGUCGUCAGCUCGUGUCGUGAGAUGUUGGGUUAAGUCCCGCAACGAGCGCAACCCUUAUCUUAUGUUGCCAGCGCGUAAUGGCGGGGACUCGUGAGAGACUGCCGGGGUCAACUCGGAGGAAGGUGGGGACGACGUCAAGUCAUCAUGCCCCUUAUGUCCAGGGCUUCACACAUGCUACAAUGGCCGGUACAGAGGGCUGCGAUACCGUGAGGUGGAGCGAAUCCCUUAAAGCCGGUCUCAGUUCGGAUCGGGGUCUGCAACUCGACCCCGUGAAGUUGGAGUCGCUAGUAAUCGCAGAUCAGCAACGCUGCGGUGAAUACGUUCCCGGGCCUUGUACACACCGCCCGUCACGUCAUGAAAGUCGGUAACACCCGAAGCCGGUGGCCUAACCCUUGUGGAGGGAGCCGUCGAA
rnacentral:rRNA from 1 species